AUUGAACGCUGGCGGCAUGCCUAACACAUGCAAGUCGAACGGAGGUAGGGGCAACUCUACUUCAGUGGCGGACGGGUGAGGAAUGCGUCGGAAUCUACCCUAUGGUGGGGGAUAACACAGGGAAACUUGUGCUAAUACCGCAUAAUGUCGAGAGACCAAAGCAGGGGACCGCAAGGCCUUGCGCGAUAGGAUGAGCCGACGCCCGAUUAGCUUGUUGGUAGGGUAAUGGCCUACCAAGGCGACGAUCGGUAGCUGGUCUGAGAGGAUGAUCAGCCACACUGGGACUGAGACACGGCCCAGACUCCUACGGGAGGCAGCAGUGGGGAAUAUUGGACAAUGGGCGCAAGCCUGAUCCAGCAAUGCCGCGUGUGUGAAGAAGGCCUGCGGGUUGUAAAGCUCUUUUGGUCGGGAAGAAAGUGCCCUGCUUAAUACGCGGGGUAUUUGACGGUACCGGCAGAAUAAGCACCGGCUAACUACGUGCCAGCAGCCGCGG
rnacentral:rRNA from 1 species